AUAGCGUAUAUUAAAGUUGUUGCAGUUAAAAAGCUCGUAGUUGAACCUUGGGUCUGGCUGGCCGGUCCGCCUCACCGCGUGUACUGGUCCGGCCGGACCUUUCCUUCUGGGGAAUCGCAUGCCCUUCACUGGGUGUGUCGAGGAUCCAGGACUUUUACUUUGAAAAAAUUAGAGUGUUCAAAGCAGGCUUAUGCUCGAAUACAUUAGCAUGGAAUAAUAGAAUAGGACGUGUGGUUCUAUUUUGUUGGUUUCUAGGGCCGCCGUAAUGAUUAAUAGGGAUAGUCGGGGGCAUCAGUAUUCAAUUGUCAGAGGUGAAAUUCUUGGAUUUAUUGAAGACUAACUACUG
rnacentral:rRNA from 1 species